UAGGGAAUAUUGGGCAAUGGACGAAAGUCUGACCCAGCCAUGCCGCGUGCAGGAUGACGGCCCUAGUGGUUGUAAACUGCUUUUAUACGGGAAGAAAAGUUCCAACGUGUUGGAAUGUGACUGUACCGUAUGAAUAAGCAUCGGCUAACUCCGUGCCAGCAGCCGCGGUAAUACGGAGGAUGCAAGCGUUAUCCGGAUUCAUUGGGUUUAAAGGGUGCGCAGGCGGAUUGGUAAGUCAGUGGUGAAAUCCUCUCGCUUAACGGGAGAAUUGCCGUUGAUACUAUCAAUCUUGAGUAUAAUUGAAGUGGGCGGAAUGUGUCAUGUAGCGGUGAAAUGCAUAGAUAUGACACAGAACACCGAUUGCGAAGGCAGCUCACUAAAUUAUAACUGACGCUGAGGCACGAAAGCGUGGGGAGCAAACA
rnacentral:rRNA from 1 species